rnacentral:rRNA from 1 species
UAACACGUGGAUAACCUACCUAUAAGACUGGGAUAACUUCGGGAAACCGGAGCUAAUACCGGAUAAUAUUUUGAACCGCAUGGUUCAAGAGUGAAAGACGGUCUUGCUGUCACUUAUAGAUGGAUCCGCGCUGCAUUAGCUAGUUGGUAAGGUAACGGCUUACCAAGGCAACGAUGCAUAGCCGACCUGAGAGGGUGAUCGGCCACACUGGAACUGAGACACGGUCCAG